rnacentral:lncRNA from 1 species
GAAAGCCAGCCGGAAGACACCUACCCUGGCCGGAAGACACGUACCCCCGAAGAUCGAGAAAGAGGCUGUCCGGGUAGUAUGUAGCAGUCACGUCAGACUGAGACACUUCUUGUUUACAGGAGACCAUAAAACCCCUGCCCCAUCCUCAUUUGGUGCUGAGGCCGUUUUAGGCCUCAGCCCGCCUGUACCCAGGCACUCAUUAAAACAGCGUGUUGCUCCACAGGGCCUCGUGUUGUCUGUUGGCACGCUCUUGGGCUUGGAACCGAUACAAGAACCUUACAAUGAGGUGGAAGAGAGAAGCACGGCAGGAUUGUGCACAAAGUCUUGUCUGUUGUGGAAUGGAGUUUGGACCUUUCCCACCACUUUCAAGGAAGGGAAUGAAUUGACCUGGUUCACUUCCUAAGAAGGCUACUGUCUGUGUGGUGCUCCUAGAGGCAUGGGAGAGGAGUGAAGACAGAGAUGACCAAAGAAACACUUGGGGAAAGAAUGGAAGCGGCAUGUGUUAGCUUGGGAAAGGGAAACAUACCAGCAUCCGAGAUCUGGCCAUCAGGGAGAAUAACAAACACUGACGGUGGCAAGAUAAAGAGAAGAUUCGAAGAUGGCUCCAGGUCUCCAGCCAGGAAGAUGCUGAUGACAGCAGUGCCAGGAGUUGGAACAGGAAAUGGAAGG